UAAAGACAGGAUGUCUGGAACAGGAGAUGGAUGUGGUGAGAGAAGGGCUAGCUAGCUGGUUAAGGCUUUGGCUAAGUGGAGUGAGAUGGAAGAAAUAACAAAUGAUACUGAAACCAGACUAGACAACAAGGCUAGGGAAAACACUGAGGAAGACUAGAUGCAAACAGGGGAAAAGAAAAGGGUAGAUUCUCUGUAACCAGAAGAAGGAGCAGCAAAUAGGAGAGCAAGAAAGGGAAAUGGUGAAAACUUACAUGAUAGUAAAAUCCUAGCUAAGGACCUGAAGAUAGGGGAUAUAAACUGCUGAGGAUUGCAGAGUGGAUUGGGGGGAAGGCUGGAGAUACAUUAAGAGCUAAGAAACUGCCUGGUGGAGACUUGUUCUUCAUUUCUUACAAUCCACUAGCAAGUAGGGAAACUCCUUCAGACAAGGGUGCUAGAUAAGAUAAAAAUGUCAGCUACCCAAAUUCCUCACAGAAACAGGGGCAGUGCAUGGUGUGCUAACUGAAAUGGCAGAGGAGGAAAUAAAGCAAGCAACAGAUGAAGACAAAACUAACUGCAAAGAGGCUAAUUAGCAGAAGAGGUGUUAGCAAGCCCUCUACAGCUGUGCUGGACACAUUUCAGGGAAGACUGUUACCGGAUAGAGUGAUUUCAGGCUGACAGCAUCUCACAGGAGAAAGAACACAGACUAUGGGUGCUGAUGAUUUGGUCACAUAGCAAAUAAUGUUGAAGGAAAAAUACAGUGCAGUAAUUGUGGAGAUGAAUGUUCAUACAAUUCUUGUGAGGAAAGGACAGAACAAAAAAGUUACAACUGUGGAGAAAAACACAGCUCAAGAGGAGGCACUGAGGCAAAGCAAGCCAGAUGAUGGUAAACUUGAUAUGGGGAAAGGGAACAACCAGGAACAAACGAAUGGGAAGGAAGUAACAAGUGACACUGUGGUAAAAGGAGAUGACGUGCUACUUACAGAGACUGACUGAAAUAAUACAUUCUUGCUUGUUUGAGAUGUACAGGAUAAAUGAGGGAGGUAAAAAUAAUGAACAAGUGCCGUGCUGCACACCCAGAGCACAUUUACUCCAGAUCACGGAUUACUGUUGAGAGGAAGAGUGGUCACUGAAUGAGGGUCAGAAGAUCUGGAUUCAAUACCUGGUUUUGCCACAGACUUCCCAUGUGACCUUAGGCGAGUCACUUAAUUUCUUAUGCCUUAGGUCACCAUCAGACUUGGUCCUGUCUAAGGAGAUUGUAAGCUCUUUGGGGCAAGGUCCAUCUUCCUAUGUGAACAUGCAAAACCUAGCACAAUGGGUCCCCUGUGUUAGCUUGGGCCUUUAUGAGCUACUGUAAUGCUAGAAAUAAUCAGAAUGGAGAGAGAAGGUGGUGGUUUUACAAGCAAUAGCAAAUUAUAUGUAACUUGACAUGGGAAUUUCAGCCUUUCAUGUUUUGUUGUUGUUUGUUGUUCAGCCUUUCUAGAAUGAAAAUGUAUAAUGCACAGAUAGCUUUACUGGUGAUAACAAGUUAAGUUUUCUGCUUGAGCCAUGGGGACUAAGUAUGUCUACAUAGCAAAAAUAACAAACCCUCCAAAAUCUUACAGCGGCAAGUCUCACAGCCCAGAUCAACUGAAUUGAGCUUGUGCUAUGGAACUAAAAACAGCAGUGUAGACGGUCCUGCUCAGGCUGGAGCUCGGGCUCUGAAACUCUGCGAGCGAGGAGGGACUGGGAGCCUAGGUUCCAGCUUGAGCGAGACGGAUGCUCACAGGCAUGAAAUGUGCUCAUACGACACAAUAAUGCAUUGAAGUAGAAAGAGGCUGGGCUUCGGUUCAGGCUCCCCUACUGACUCUUGUUCAGCGCAGAGCUUAACAGAAACAGAACUUUAAUACAUGCCCACAGCAGAGAAACUUACAAAAACAGGAUGUAACCUGUAAACAGGCUUAGCAAGAAUGUAUAUAAAUAUGGAUUUUUGGCAAGAGAUACAAGCAGAUAAU